UCUAGGAUUCAUCUGAAGCUCCCCCGAAUUCUUGAAUGGAUUUUGCCUGAGAAUCCUCUCAAGGCUGCGGUUAUCCCUUUUGCUGGUGCACCUUCUCCUACCACACUUUUUCCUUCCACUCAACUUUCUAUGAAUAUGCUUGGAUACAGCACUCUGUGAACAACCAGCUUCUUUAGCAAUGACCUUUCAUGGCUUCCCCUCCUUGUGGAGGGUGUCAGUGACUGUCUUCUGGACAACUGUCAGGUCAGCAGUCGUCCCCAUGAUUGUGUAGCCUACUGACCCAGACUGAGUGACCAUUUAAAAGCUCAGGAAACCUUUGCAGGUGUUUUGAGGGUGUUUCAAUAAAAACCUGUCCAAGGAGGUUUGUUUCUUCCUCCCUUUCAAAAUGUUUGGAAAAUGAGUGAUGAAGUGUGGUUACACAGCGCCAAGGCACGACCUGGAGAGAUCACCACGUGAACUGACCGCUCGCUGGGUGACCGAGUGGUGGGUGGAGUAAGCUCACACGCUCGUAACUCAGAUCUCGGCUCGUACCUUAGAGCAAAAAAUCGACCGAGCGACGGCUCUUAAGUUGAUUCACUCCACCUGUUGGUAUAACUUGGUAUAACACCUGUUGGUUAAUCAGGCACCUGACUCUGAUCCUACAAAAUCCCUGAAUUUGUGAAAGUGGACCAAGUGUAAGAAUUGAUGCUGUAUGGCCAAUGAAUUCAAUAAGUACUACUGGAAAAGAACCGAGUGGAACCGCCAUCACUUGACUGCUGCUGAAUUUGCAGAUUGGGUCGAUCUGCUCCAAGCUCCUUGAUUCUUUUCGUUUCUUCACCUGAACUUCUUGUGAAAGGAUUGCCUCACGUUUAGAUGUAACCUGGUUCGAUGGGAAUGAGAGGGUGUUUUAGGAAGUUGACACUAUGGGAAUGCUUCUGCGUGAGCUGGAGUCUGAAACAUGCAUGGAAACACGCAAAUUUUAUUGGCCAACGUGGGGGUCAGGUGAUGUCACACGUCUUGUUGACUUCUACGUUAACUGGGUUACGUACCUAACCUGAGACAUUCCCUUUCAAAGGAUCUCGACGAUACAUCGUGCAUUUGACGCUAUGGGAACGUUAAUUCCCACAUCACCAUACUGACAGGAUGCCUACUCACAAGGUGCGAAGUAAGAAUACAUGCACAACCUGAGAAAAAGAUAACCCUUAAGAACCUGGGGUGUGCUGUAGGACUCGAGAAACUGGGGUUAAGCCCAUAUCCAACCUAUAGAACCUUGUGAGUGUGUGAGAAGAGGACCAGCCUGCCACAGCACAAAUAUCUUGCAAAGGCACCAUCAUCAUCAUCAUCAUCAUCACCAUCGAUAAACAUCCUCCAUCCUACUUCACCCUAUUUUUAAAUGCUGUACCUUUUAUUGAAAUAAUCAGGGAUGUGAUUUGUCCAGUGUUUUAGUACGCUUAAUUUCAUACAUAUUUUAAGUCAUCACAAUGGUGAGAAAAACAGAAAGAAUGUUCAACACAAAAGUAAAACACAAAAGUUUGUCUAAAUAGAGGCGUGAACAAGAUCAGGGAUAGCAGUGGAUCGAUCCUGUCAGUUCUAAUCAGUAUGGUUGAGUAUUUGAUUUAACGCAGCAUGCAGCAGGUGUUAGUCAUGUCUGAAGGGGGAAAGACUAGUAGACAGAGUGGAAUCACUCAGUGCUUCUUCCCUCAGACUUCUCCAGAGGUGACCAUGGUAUGUUCACAAAUAUCUUGCAGCACAAACAUCUUGCAAAUGUCCAUGGUAAAAAAGCACUAUACAAAUAAAUUGAAUUGAAUUUCAAAGGCACACCCUUGUAUAGUGUCUUGCAGCAAGCCAUGCUCCUGGUGGCCUGAGAGGCCAGGGAAAACACAUCAGCUACACAAUGCGAUAAAUGCUGCUUGGUGGCGGAGAAUAUCUGGUGCGCCCCCAAAGGCAGACCAACAGCUGAUCAGUUCUACGCCACAGGGUUGAGUAAUUGACAUAGAUCCUUGAGGGCCCUGACCUGACACAAAAGAUAAAGCUUCUCUUGUUCCGGCAUGUCAAAUAGCUGAGGGGAGAAGGUCAAGAAAUGUCCAUUAUUACAUAUUCUGGCCUCAGGUGCAAUAUAACCUUGACCAGUCCAAGGACAAAGUCUAGUGCUUGGCAUGUAACCCUUAUUUCUUCAUAGGGUUAAAAAGUGGUUGAAACCCUGUGCCCCUGAGCCAACACUAAAAUGGUCUCAUGUGCAUCAGCCCCAAGGGAUACACAUUGGUGGUGGCUGUUUCUGAUUCAACCUGUUUCUGAGCCUCCCUCCCUUUCUCAUUCUCCUUCACCCUCAGCACUCAAGCACCCCAGGGUUGUGUUCUGAGCCACCAGCUGUACUCACUAUACACAUUUGACUGUGUGGCCAGUUCCAACUCCAGAAUCAACGUCAAGUUUGCUGACAACACAGUAGUGGUGGGCCUGAUCUUCGACACAGGUGAGAUGAUCUACCUAGAGGAGAUUAAAUACCUGAAGAUUUGGUGCCAGGAGAACAAUGUCCUCUUGAGCAUAAGCAGGACAAAAAAUUUGAUAGCGGACUUCAGCACAAAGCAGGAGAGGAACUACCAGCCACUCACAAUCAGUGGGACCCCAGUGAAGAGUGUGGACAGUUUCCGGCUCCCAGGUGCUGACAUCACGCAGGACCUCACAUCACCACUGUGGUGAAUAAGCCCAGGCAGCAUCUCUACCACCACAGACAUUUAAAGGACUUUAGGUUGAAAAAAGUGACUGACUGAAUGGAUAAAAAGUGUCUCAAGCCAUAAGGAAAAAGUUUUACUGUAAUACACGUUUAUUCCUGAGAUUGGUGGGACUUUUAUACUGUCCCCUUCAAACAGCAAGACCAAUUCUAUUAUUUAUGCUACACUCCAUUAUUUAUGAAAUCUUAGGUCUGAAAUCAAAAGACGAUAGAUCAGAAUUUCAUCAGCUUUCAUUUCCUGAUAUUUACAUCUGGAUGUGUUCAGCAACUCAGAACAUGGCACCUUUGGUGUCAGACCACCCAAUUUUUAUGUGGCCACAAGUAUUGGAACAGCCACUCUUACAGGACAUGGAUGUAGGCAGGAAGCCUGGAGCUGUCCCUCCACUGUAUGCAGGGUUGGUGUAUCUCUAAAGCAUGUGACUUUCUUACUCUUCUGCCAGUAAGAAUGUGGCCUUCAUGUAAAUCCAUGCGAGUUCAGUUCAGUUGGACAUCCCGUAUGGGCUGGUGAGGAUCUCAGUGACUCAAACACAAGUGUGUGCUCCAAAGCUGGAGUCUUGAGGGAGUAUAGUCACAGAGGAAUCUCACCCCUUUCAGAAAGUCUAUUAGCAAGUCAUUAAAUACCAUCUUUAGCACUGCCAUACACAGCAGCAGCUGCUACUCACUAUACACUCACUUCAUCUUCACAUCAAACAUCAGAAUAAAACAUUAGGAAACGUUCUUUUUUAAAUUAAUUUAUUUAUUUUUUUAUUUUCUGGCCCAUAACGGUUUAGUACAGCGGACAAGGCAAGAGUUCACAACAGCAGUCACAUUUUCAGGAGAGGAAAUGGUGGAUGUGUAACGCUUAAACAGAAUUAAAGUAAAGGAUCUGAUUAAUACAAGGUUUUUUCUAACUUAUGUUUAUUCUCUCAUCACACUCUGUUACACUCAAACAGCUUCUUCCCCAGUAUCUUCACUGUGUCUCUCAGAGUCUCCACCUCAAUUCUCAGGUCAGCGUUCUCCUUCUCCAGCUGAGCGAUGGUCUCCACAUCAUCCACAGCUUGAGCCAAGGUGACCUGAAAGAAGAAGAAUUAAGCUGAUGGAUGGUCUCCACAUCUUUCUGAUGUUUCUCCUCAGCUUCAGCCAGAGUGACCUGAAAGAAGAAGAAUUAAGAUUCGUACAAAUCCGUAUAAAUAUGCAGAAGCUGUGAAGAUCCAGAACAAAUUCCAUAAACAGCUCCAAUCAAUUCAAAAUUGAGGCUGGAAUAAGGAAAGGCGAUAAGGAAAAGUUUAUAGAAUAUAAAAAAAAGAAUACAAAUGAUGAAGACAAAAUUUCUAAAGAAUACACGCUGGGAGAAGCGGGAAGAUACAGAGACCUUAGAUGUUAAGAAACCCACCCCUGGAGUGGUCGAGGCAGACCACAUUCCACCAAAGAGAACUUUACAGAAACUGAAAAAUUAUCCAGAAAUGGAAAAGUUAUUCAAUCACUCAGAUAUGAACAAAAAUUAUGAAGAACAGAUGUUUGCCAUGAACGUUCUGCGCUGUGACCAUCAACGUGCAGCGACUACUGGCCAUAGUGGUGUAUCCAGAGCUUGCAGAGAUUUACUGACAGAGACAUUUGUUACUGGAGAUGUGGAGAAAGGACUGAAGCUGUCAUUAAUAAUGGCCCACCCGGAAACCUCAGACUACAUCCGGAAAGAAUUGAAUCAACCCUGUAAAUCUAGCAACAAGGAUUAUGGACUGACAGCAGAAAGUACUAACAGAUACUACAAACAAGGAUUUGAGAAUAUUAUAAAGGAAUACGAAAAGAAAAAAGUGAUCGACCAAAACCAAGCAGCUCGUCUGAAGGAGUGGGUGAAAAAUGAGAGAUAUUUAUGCGGAAAUGCAGAGAAAUACGUACGAAAUAUGUACGAGAAAUAAUGACUUUUUACAACACCAGGACCUCAAACUCUAACUGACGUGACUGGGGAUCAAUUCACAGGCAAGGAAACAACACAGACAAUUAGGGGUUAACUACCAGUGACAGUCUUAAACUCUGACAAAACAGGGUUACAUUCAGAAAAAAAUCACUGGAAAAUAAUAGAUUAUGGCACUGCUACUAUAUGUUGAUUAAACAACCCAAAUAUCUAGCACCUAGCUAACUAGAGAGAGAGAGAGAGAGAGAGAGAGAGUCAGAUACAGAGAGAGAGAGAGAGAGAGAGUCAGAUACAGAGAGAGAGAGAGAGAGAGAGAGAGAGUGUCAGAUACAGAGAGAGAGAGAGGGAGAGAGUGUCAGAUACAGAGAGAGAGAGAGAGAGAGAGAGAGAGAGUGUCAGAUACAGAGAGAGAGAGAGAGAGAGAGAGAGAGGGUGAGAGAGAG